rnacentral:rRNA from 1 species
CCUACGGGAGGCAGCAGUAGGGAAUCUUCCACAAUGGGCGAAAGCCUGAUGGAGCAACGCCGCGUGGGUGAAGAAGGUCUUCGGAUCGUAAAACUCUGUUGUUAGAGAAGAAAGUGCGUGAGAGUAACUGUUCACGUUUCGACGGUAUCUAACCAGAAAGCCACGGCUAACUACGUGCCAGCAGCCGCGGUAAUACGUAGGUGGCAAGCGUUAUCCGGAUUUAUUGGGCGUAAAGGGAACGCAGGCGGUCUGUUAAGUCUGAUGUGAAAGCCUUCGGCUUAACCGGAGUAGUGCAUUGGAAACUGGCAGACUUGAGUGCAGAAGAGGAGAGUGGAACUCCAUGUGUAGCGGUGAAAUGCGUAGAUAUAUGGAAGAACACCAGUGGCGAAGGCGGCUCUCUGGUCUGUAACUGACGCUGAGGUUCGAAAGCGUGGGUAGCAAACAGGAUUAGAUACCCCUGUAGUC